rnacentral:rRNA from 1 species
CCUGGCAGCCAUAGCGAUACGGUACCACCUGACUCCAUUCCGAACUCAGAAGUGAAACGUAUUAGCGCCGACCGGUGACCGGCGCAGGGAUAGUGUGGGGUUCCGGUGACCGGCCCAGC